AGAGAGAGAGGGAGUAGGGGCUGACAGAGAGGAGAUAGAACGAAGAGAGAGAGAGAGAGUAGGGGCUGACAGAGAGGAGAUAGAAUGAAGAGAGAGAGAGAGGGAGUAGGGGCUGACAGAGAGGAGAUAGAAUGAAGAGAGAGAGAGAGGGAGUAGGGGCUGACAGAGAGGAGAUAGAAUGAAGAGAGAGAGAGAGUAAGGGGCUGACAGAGAGGAGAUAGAAUGAAGAGAGAGAGAGGGAGUAGGGGCUGACAGAGAGGAGAUAGAAUGAAGAGAGAGAGGGAGUAGGGGCAGACAGAGAGGAGAUAGAAUGAAGAGAGCGAGAGAGGGAGUAGGGGCUGACAGAGAGGAGAUAGAAUGAAGAGAGAGAGAGGGAGUAGGGCUGACAGAGAGGAGAUAGAAUGAAGAGAGAGAGAGGGAGUAGGGGUUGACAGAGAGGAGAUAGAAUGAAGAGAGAGAGGGGGAGUAGGGACUGACAGAGAGGAGAUAGAAUGAAGAGAGAGAGAGGGAGUAGGGGUUGACAGAGAGGAGAUAGAAUGAAGAGAGAGAGAGAGUAGGGGCUGACAGAGAGGAGAUAGAAUGAAGAGAGAGAGAGAGAGAGAGGGAGUAGGGGCUGACAGACAGGAGAUAGAAUGAAGAGAGAGAGAGGGAGUAGGGGCUGACAGAGAGGAGAUAGAAUGAAGAGAGAGAGAGAGAGUAGGGGCUGACAGAGAGGAGAUAGAAUGAAGAGAGAGAGAGGGAGUAGGGGCUGACAGAGAGGAGAUAGAAUGAAGAGAGAGAGAGAGGGAGUAGGGGCUGACAGAGAGGAGAUAGAAUGAAGAGAGAGAGAGGGAGUAGGGGUUGACAGAGAGGAGAUAGAAUGAAGAGAGAGAGGGGGAGUAGGGACUGACAGAGAGGAGAUAGAAUGAAGAGAGAGAGAGGGAGUAGGGGUUGACAGAGAGGAGAUAGAAUGAAGAGAGAGAGAGAGAGUAGGGGCUGACAGAGAGGAGAUAGAAUGAAGAGAGAGAGAGAGAGAGAGGGAGUAGGGGCUGACAGACAGGAGAUAGAAUGAAGAGAGAGAGAGGGAGUAGGGGCUGACAGAGAGGAGAUAGAAUGAAGAGAGAGAGAGAGAGUAGGGGCUGACAGAGAGGAGAUAGAAUGAAGAGAGAGAGAGGGAGUAGGGGCUGACAGAGAGGAGAUAGAAUGAAGAGAGAGAGAGAGACAGAGAGAGGGAGUAGGGGCUGACAGAGAGGAGAUAGAGAGUAGCCAGGGUUAAAAUCUGCUGAGCUGGGACACUAGGGAUGGAGGGAAUGAGGGAGAGAGAGAAAUGGAAUUGAAUUGAG
rnacentral:lncRNA from 1 species